GAUUUGGCUGUUGUGGUGUGCAAAACUGUGUACAUUGCCUUUUGCCACACUGCAACACUUUACAGA
rnacentral:pre_miRNA from 1 species